GACGAACGCUGGCGGCGUGCUUAACACAUGCAAGUCGAACGGAAAGGCCCCUUCGGGGGUACUCGAGUGGCGAACAGGUGAGUAACACGUGUGUAACCUGCCCUUGACUUCGGGAUAACUUCAGGAAACUGGGGCUAAUACCGGAUAGGAAUCCUUGCUGCAUGGUGGGGGUUGGAAAGCUUCGGCGGUUUUGGAUGGACUCGCGGCUUAUCAGCUUGUUGGUGGGGUAGUGGCUUACCAAGGCUUUGACGGGUAGCCGGCCUGAGAGGGCGACCGGCCACAUUGGGACUGAGAUACGGCCCAGACUCCUACGGGAGGCAGCAGUGGGGAAUAUUGCACAAUGGGCGGAAGCCUGAUGCAGCAACGCCGCGUGCGGGAUGACGGCCUUCGGGUUGUAAACCGCUUUCAGCAGGGGCGAAGCUUGUGGUGACGGUACCUGCAGAAGAAGCACCGGCUAACUACGUG
rnacentral:rRNA from 1 species